rnacentral:rRNA from 1 species
UAAGUGACUAAGCGUACACGGUGGAUGCCUUGGCAGUCAGAGGCGAUGAAAGACGUAGUAACUUGCGAUAAGCCCAGAUUAGGUAGUAACAACCAUUUGAGUCUGGGAUUUCUGAAUGGGGAAACCCACGUGCAUAAGCACGUAUCCUUACCUGAAUACAUAGGGUAAGGAGGCGAACCGGGGGAACUGAAACAUCUAAGUACCCCGAGGAAAAGAAAUCAACCGAGAUUCCGAAAGUAGCGGCGAGCGAAAUUGGACUAGCCCUUAAGCUUUACACGCGUUAGACGAACGGUCUGGAAAGUCCGACGAUACAGGGUGAUAGUCCCGUAGUUGACGACGUGUGUUCAGUGAAAUCGAGUAGGGCGGGACACGUGAUAUCCUGUCUGAAUAUGGGGGACCAUCCUCCAAGGCUAAAUACUACUGACUGACCGAUAGUGAACCAGUACCGUGAGGGAAAGGCGAAAAGAACCCCUGUGAGGGGAGUGAAAUAGAACCUGAAACCGUGUACGUACAAGCAGUAGGAGCAGGCUUGUCCUGUGACUGCGUACCUUUUGUAUAAUGGGUCAGCGACUUAUAUUCAGUGGCAAGGUUAACCAUCUAGGGGAGCCGUAGGGAAACCGAGUCUUAACUGGGCGUUCAGUCUCUGGAUAUAGACCCGAAACCAGGUGAUCUAGCCAUGGGCAGGUUGAAGGUUGAGUAACAUCAACUGGAGGACCGAACCGACUAAUGUUGAAAAAUUAGCGGAUGACUUGUGGCUAGGGGUGAAAGGCCAAUCAAACCUGGAGAUAGCUGGUUCUCCCCGAAAGCUAUUUAGGUAGCGCCUCGGACGAAUACUACUGGGGGUAGAGCACUGUUAAGGCUAGGGGGUCAUCCCGACUUACCAACCCUUUGCAAACUCCGAAUACCAGUAAGUACUAUCCGGGAGACACACGGCGGGUGCUAACGUCCGUCGUGGAGAGGGAAACAACCCAGACCGCCAGCUAAGGUCCCAAAUUACUACUAAGUGGGAAACGAUGUGGGAAGGCUCAGACAGCCAGGAUGUUGGCUUAGAAGCAGCCAUCAUUUAAAGAAAGCGUAAUAGCUCACUGGUCGAGUCGGCCUGCGCGGAAGAUGUAACGGGGCUAAGUAGUAAACCGAAGCUGCGGCAAUAUACUUUUGUAUAUUGGGUAGGGGAGCGUUCUGUAAGCGGUUGAAGGUGUGUGGUAACGCAUGCUGGACGUAUCAGAAGUGCGAAUGCUGACAUGAGUAACGAUAAAGGGGGUGAAAAACCUCCUCGCCGGAAGACCAAGGGUUCCUGUCCAACGUUAAUCGGGGCAGGGUAAGUCGACCCCUAAGGCGAGGCCGAAAGGCGUAGUCGAUGGGAAACGGGUUAAUAUUCCCGUACUUCUUACAAUUGCGAUGGGGGGACGGAGAAGGCUAGGUGGGCCUGGCGACGGUUGUCCAGGUUCAAGUGCGUAGGCUUAAGAGUUAGGUAAAUCCGGCUCUUUUUAAGGCUGAGACACGACGUCGAGCUACUACGGUAGUGAAGUCAUUGAUGCCAUGCUUCCAGGAAAAGCCUCUAAGCUUCAGAUUGUAAGGAAUCGUACCCCAAACCGACACAGGUGGUCGGGUAGAGAAUACCAAGGCGCUUGAGAGAACUCGGGUGAAGGAACUAGGCAAAAUGGUACCGUAACUUCGGGAGAAGGUACGCUCUCGACGGUGAAGUCCCUCGCGGAUGGAGCUAUUGAGAGUCGCAGAUACCAGGUGGCUGCAACUGUUUAUUAAAAACACAGCACUGUGCAAAAUCGUAAGAUGACGUAUACGGUGUGACGCCUGCCCGGUGCCGGAAGGUUAAUUGAUGGGGUUAGACUUCGGUCGAAGCUCUUGAUCGAAGCCCCGGUAAACGGCGGCCGUAACUAUAACGGUCCUAAGGUAGCGAAAUUCCUUGUCGGGUAAGUUCCGACCUGCACGAAUGGCGUAAUGAUGGCCACGCUGUCUCCACCCGAGACUCAGUGAAAUUGAAAUCGCUGUGAAGAUGCAGUGUACCCGCGGCUAGACGGAAAGACCCCGUGAACCUUUACUACAGCUUGGCACUGAACAUUGACCCUACAUGUGUAGGAUAGGUGGGAGGCUUUGAAGCACGUACGCCAGUAUGUGUGGAGCCGUCCUUGAAAUACCACCCUUGUAGUGUUGAUGUUCUAACGUCGACCCCUUAUCGGGGUUGCGGACAGUGCCUGGUGGGUAGUUUGACUGGGGCGGUCUCCUCCCAAAGAGUAACGGAGGAGCACGAAGGUGGGCUAAUCACGGUUGGACAUCGUGAGGUUAGUGCAAUGGCAUAAGCCCGCUUGACUGCGAGAAUGACAAUUCGAGCAGGUGCGAAAGCAGGUCAUAGUGAUCCGGUGGUUCUGAAUGGAAGGGCCAUCGCUCAACGGAUAAAAGGUACUCCGGGGAUAACAGGCUGAUACCGCCCAAGAGUUCAUAUCGACGGCGGUGUUUGGCACCUCGAUGUCGGCUCAUCACAUCCUGGGGCUGAAGUCGGUCCCAAGGGUAUGGCUGUUCGCCAUUUAAAGUGGUACGCGAGCUGGGUUUAGAACGUCGUGAGACAGUUCGGUCCCUAUCUGCCGUGGGCGUUGGAAGAUUGAAGGGGGCUGCUCCUAGUACGAGAGGACCGGAGUGGACGAACCUCUGGUGUUCGGGUUGUGUCGCCAGACGCAUUGCCCGGUAGCUAAGUUCGGAAUCGAUAACCGCUGAAAGCAUCUAAGCGGGAAGCGAGCCCUGAGAUGAGUCUUCCCUGAUACUUUAAGUAUCCUAAAGGGUUGUCGGAGACUACGACGUUGAUAGGUCAGGUGUGUAAGUGCUGUGAGGCAUUGAGCUAACUGAUACUAAUUGCCCGUGAGGCUUAACCA